UAAAUGCAACAAAAUAAUAUGAUAUAACCUGCAUGAAAACUGUGGUAUUUUCUGAACAUAAUAAACAUGAAUCAUGACACGGGGAAUGUCCUAUCUGUCCGCAACACUCUGGUCACCUGGUAACAAUUAAUCAUGCGUUCAAAAUAAGAUACACCGCAAAUACAAAGUGCAUGAAAAAUAUGAAUCACCAACGCCGCAUAUUAUACAGAGUGGGUUUGGUGCGUGGGAAUCUCCCAUUGAGAUAAAUCCAUAUUUUAGGUAGGACUCCUGAUACUGUCUAUUAAAUGUAGAAAUCUUUUUCUUGAAAGUCGUAGGCUGCUCUUCUGUCUCCCAGCUGGGCCUUUUCUCCUUACCGAA